rnacentral:lncRNA from 1 species
GUACAAAAGACCUUGCUACAGUCCACACGUGAGAAUGGUUUCCCUCCAAAGGCUUAAGGUUUGGAGGAUAGAAAACAUUUUGCCAUUCUUCACAUUGUUAAGAAUUCUGUUCAGGAAUCUGUUCUGAGGUAAGGAUGGAUGAGUUAAAAAGCAUUUCCAUAUCCUUCCCACUUGUACGGUUUUAUCCGGAAUGAAUACUUAGGUGGGUAGCAAGUUCUAAGUGAGCACUAAAGACUUUGCCACACACUUCACACUUGUAGGGAUUCUCUUGAGAAUGAAUCCUUUGAUGCUCCUUAAGUCGAGAAGAAUAGUAAAACAUUUUGCCACACUCUUCACACUUGUAGGGCUUCUCUCCAGAGUGGACUACCUUGUGUUGAGAAAGGUAUGAGUGAGUACUGAAGGCCUUUCCACAUUGCUCACACUUGUAGGGUUUCUCUCCAGUAUGGAUUCUCUGGUGUCUGGAACGUCCUGAGCGAGUACAAAAGUCCUUGCCACAUUCUUCACACCUGUACGGUUUCUUUCCAGAAUGAAUUGCUAGGUGUUCCUUAAGGAUUGAAGGGUAGUAAAAGGUUUUGCCACAUUCCUCACAUUUGUAAGGUUUCUCCCCAGUAUGACCUAAUUUGUGCUGAGUAAGGUAGGAGUGAGUAUAAAAGGCUUUGCCACAUAUUUCACACUUGUAAGGAUUCUCUUGAGAAUGAAUUCUUUGAUGUUCCUUAAGUCGAGAAGGAUAAUAAAACAUUUUCCCGCAUUCUUCACACUUGUAGGGUUUCUCUCCAGUAUGAAAUCUCUGGUGUUUCGAAAGUCCUUUGGGAGUACAAAAUACAUUGCCACAUAUUUCACACUUGUAAGGAUUCUCUUGAGAAUGAAUCCUUUGAUGCUCCUUAAGGCGAGAAGGAUAGUAAAACUUUUUGCCACACUCUUCACACUUGUAGGGCUUCUCUCCAGAGUGGACUACUUUGUGCUGAGUAAGAUAUGAAUGAGUAGAAAAGACUUUUCCGCAUUCUUCACACUUGUGGGGUUUCUCUCCAGUAUGGAUUCUUUGGUGUCUGGAACGUCCUGAGCGAGUACAAAAGUCCUUGCCACAUUCUUCACACCUGUACGGUUUCUUUCCAGAAUGAAUUGCUAGGUGUUCCUUAAGGAUUGAAGGGUAGUAAAAGGUUUUGCCACAUUCCUCACAUUUGUAAGGUUUCUCCCCAGUGUGACCUAAUUUGUGCUGGGUAAAGUAUGAGUGAGUAUAAAAGGCUUUGCCACAUAUUUCACACUUGUAGGGAUUCUCUUGAGAAUGAAUCCUUUGAUGCUCCUUAAGUCGAGAAGGAUAAUAAAAUUUUUUGCCACACUCUUCACACUUGUAGGGUUUAUGUCCAGUGUGAACUAUCUUGUGAUGAGAAAGGUAUGAAUGGGUACUGAAGGCCUUUCCACAUUGCUCACACUUGUACGGUUUCUCUCCAGUAUGGAUUCUCUGGUGUCUGGAACGUCCUGAGCGAGUACAAAAGUCCUUGCCACAUUCAUCACACCUGUACGGUUUCUCUCCAGAAUGAAUUGCUAGGUGUUCCUUAAGGACUGAAGGGUAGUAAAAGGUUUUGCCACAUUCCUCACAUUUGUAAGGUUUCUCCCCAGUGUGACCUAAUUUGUGCUGAGUAAGGUAGGAGAGAGUAUAAAAGGCUUUGCCACAUUCCUCACACUUGUAUGGUUUCUCUCCAGAAUGGAUUCUCAGGUGUUUAGAAAGUUGCCAGCAAGUUCUAAAGACCUUGCCACAUACUUCACACUUGUAGGGUUUCUCUUGAGAAUGAGUUAUUUGAUGUUGCUUAAGGUUUGAAGAACAGUAAAACAUUUUGCCACAUUCUUCACAUUGAUAAGGUUUCUCUCGAGUAUGACCUAUCUUAUGCUGAAUCAGGGAAAGAUGAGUAGCAAAGGCUUUCCCACACUCUUCACACUUGUAGGAUUUCACUUCAUAAUGAAUUUUCAUUUUAGAGACUGAAUGGAGUGUACAAAAGGCAUUGCCACAUUCUUCACACUUGAAUGCUUUCUCUCCUGGAUGAAUUGUCGGGUGUUCAGAAAGAACUGAGCAAGCGCUAAAGGCCUUAACAUAGUCUUCAUACCUGUAGGGUUUUUCUUCAGUACAAAAGUUCUGGUCUUUAGAAAGUUCUAUGGGAGCACAAAAGACCUCGCUACAUACCUCAAUCUUAAAGAGAUUCUCUUGAGAAUGAAUUUUUUGAUGUUCUGUAAGGUGAGAAGGACAAUAAAACAGUUUCCCACAUUCUUCACAGUUAUAAAAUUGCUGUCCAGUGUGUUCUACCUCAUGUUGAGCAAGACAUGAAUGAGAAGAAAAGGCUUUUCCACAUUCUUCACACUUGUAGGGGUUUUCUCCAAUGCAAAUUCUCUGGUAGCUAGAAUUUUCUGAGCAAGUACAAAUGACUUUACCACAUACUUCACACUUGUAGGGUUUUUCUCCUGUAUGAAUUAUCUUGUGAUGAGAAAGUUUUGAUGGAACAUGAAAUGCCUGGUCACAUAUGUCACACUUAUAGGGUUUUUCUCCUGUAUGAAUUAUCUUGUGUUUAGAAAGUAAUGAUGGAUAAUGGAAGGCCUUGCCACAAACUUCACACUUGUAGGGUUUUUCUCCCGUAUGAAUUUUCUUGUGUGCAGAUAGUGAUGAUGGAAAUCGGAAGGCCUUCCCACAUUCUUUACACUUGUAUGGUUUCUCUCCUGUGUGAAUUCUCUUGUGUUUAGAUAGUGAUGGUGGAAAACAGAACGCCUUUCCACAUACUUCACACUUGUAUGGCUUUUCUCCUGUA